AGAGUUUGAUCAUGGCUCAGAUUGAACGCUGGCGGCAGGCCUAACACAUGCAAGUCGAGCGGUAGCACAGAGAGCUUGCUCUCGGGUGACGAGCGGCGGACGGGUGAGUAAUGUCUGGGAAACUGCCUGAUGGAGGGGGAUAACUACUGGAAACGGUAGCUAAUACCGCAUAAUGUCGCAAGACCAAAGUGGGGGACCUUCGGGCCUCAUGCCAUCAGAUGUGCCCAGAUGGGAUUAGCUAGUAGGUGGGGUAACGGCUCACCUAGGCGACGAUCCCUAGCUGGUCUGAGAGGAUGACCAGCCACACUGGAACUGAGACACGGUCCAGACUCCUACGGGAGGCAGCAGUGGGGAAUAUUGCACAAUGGGCGCAAGCCUGAUGCAGCCAUGCCGCGUGUGUGAAGAAGGCCUUCGGGUUGUAAAGCACUUUCAGCGGGGAGGAAGGCGUUAAGGUUAAUAACCUUGGCGAUUGACGUUACCCGCAGAAGAAGCACCGGCUAACUCCGUGCCAGCAGCCGCGGUAAUACGGAGGGUGCAAGCGUUAAUCGGAAUUACUGGGCGUAAAGCGCACGCAGGCGGUCUGUCAAGUCGGAUGUGAAAUCCCCGGGCUCAACCUGGGAACUGCAUUCGAAACUGGCAGGCUAGAGUCUUGUAGAGGGGGGUAGAAUUCCAGGUGUAGCGGUGAAAUGCGUAGAGAUCUGGAGGAAUACCGGUGGCGAAGGCGGCCCCCUGGACAAAGACUGACGCUCAGGUGCGAAAGCGUGGGGAGCAAACAGGAUUAGAUACCCUGGUAGUCCACGCCGUAAACGAUGUCGAUUUGGAGGUUGUGCCCUUGAGGCGUGGCUUCCGGAGCUAACGCGUUAAAUCGACCGCCUGGGGAGUACGGCCGCAAGGUUAAAACUCAAAUGAAUUGACGGGGGCCCGCACAAGCGGUGGAGCAUGUGGUUUAAUUCGAUGCAACGCGAAGAACCUUACCUGGUCUUGACAUCCACAGAACUUUCCAGAGAUGGAUUGGUGCCUUCGGGAACUGUGAGACAGGUGCUGCAUGGCUGUCGUCAGCUCGUGUUGUGAAAUGUUGGGUUAAGUCCCGCAACGAGCGCAACCCUUAUCCUUUGUUGCCAGCGGUCUGGCCGGGAACUCAAAGGAGACUGCCAGUGAUAAACUGGAGGAAGGUGGGGAUGACGUCAAGUCAUCAUGGCCCUUACGACCAGGGCUACACACGUGCUACAAUGGCAUAUACAAAGAGAAGCGACCUCGCGAGAGCAAGCGGACCUCAUAAAGUAUGUCGUAGUCCGGAUUGGAGUCUGCAACUCGACUCCAUGAAGUCGGAAUCGCUAGUAAUCGUAGAUCAGAAUGCUACGGUGAAUACGUUCCCGGGCCUUGUACACACCGCCCGUCACACCAUGGGAGUGGGUUGCAAAAGAAGUAGGUAGCUUAACCUUCGGGAGGGCGCUUACCACUUUGUGAUUCAUGACUGGGGUGAAGUCGUAACAAGGUAACCGUAGGGGAACCUGCGGUUGGAUCACCU
rnacentral:rRNA from 2 species